UACGUAGGUCGCAAGCGUUGUCCGGAUUUACUGGGCGUAAAGAGCGCGCAGGCGGCUGGUCAAGUCCGAUGUGAAAUCUCCCGGCUCAACUGGGAAACUGCAUCGGAAACUGAUCGGCUUGAAGAUGGGAGAGGGUAGUGGAAUUCCCGGUGUAGUGGUGAAAUGCGUAGAUAUCGGGAGGAACACCAGUGGCGAAGGCGACUACCUGGCCCAUUCUUGACGCUGAGGCGCGGAAAGCUAGGGGAGCGAACGGGG
rnacentral:rRNA from 1 species